GAUGAAGAACGCAGCGAAAUGCGAUAAGUAAUGCGAAUUGCAGAAUUCCGUGAGUCAUCGAAUCUUUGAACGCACAUUGCGCCCUUUGGUAUUCCGAAGGGCAUGCCUGUUCGAGCGUCAUUACAACCCUCAGGCCCCCGGGCCUGGCGUUGGGGAUCGGCGGAAGCCCCCUGCGGGCACAACGCCGUCCCCCAAAUACAGUGGCGGUCCCGCCGCAGCUUCCAUUGCGUAGUAGCUAACACCUCGCAACUGGAGAGCGGCGCGGCCACGCCGUAAAACACCCAACUUCUGAAUGUUGACCUCGAAUCAGGUAGGAAUACCCGCUGAACUUAAGCAUAUCAAUAAGCGGAGGA
rnacentral:misc_RNA from 1 species